rnacentral:rRNA from 1 species
UACGUAGGGUGCAAGCGUUAAUCGGAAUUACUGGGCGUAAAGCGUGCGCAGGCGGUUGUGCAAGACAGAUGUGAAAUCCCCGGGCUUAACCUGGGAAUUGCAUUUGUGACUGCACGGCUAGAGUGUGUCAGAGGGGGGUAGAAUUCCACGUGUAGCAGUGAAAUGCGUAGAUAUGUGGAGGAAUACCGAUGGCGAAGGCAGCCCCCUGGGAUAACACUGACGUUCAUGCACGAAAGCGUGGGGAGCAAACAGG